GACAAGGCUUUGUUUGAAGCCAUACAAAAUGCACAUCAAAGAUAUGU
rfam:Cathartes aura contig75272, whole genome shotgun sequence.